UGAUGAUGAUGAUGAUGAUGAUGAUGAUGAUGAUGAUGAUGAUGAUGAUCAAGGCGCUUUCACUUUAGCAACCAUCAACAACAUCAACAGUAGCU
rnacentral:pre_miRNA from 1 species